rnacentral:RNase_P_RNA from 1 species
UCAGAUGGCUGGAUGACCGCUUGCGAAUGUGGCUGCACGGGGCUCGCCUUGUGCAAAGCGCGUUGGUGAGAGGAAAGUCCGGGCUCCACGGAAACACGGUGACGGAUAACAUCCGCCGGGGGCAACCCUAGGGAAAGCGCCACAGAAAAUAUACCGCCAUUCCGGCGCGGCCUUCGGGCAACGACGGACGGUAAGGUUGAAAAGGUGCGGUAAGAGCGCACCGCGGGUCUGGCAACAGAAACGGCAUGGCAAGCCCCACCGGGAGCAAGACCAAAUAGGGACGGCACGUAAUCCGUUUCCGGAUAGCCGUCCGGGUAGGUCGCGAGAGGCAGUCGGUAACGGCUGUCCCAGAGGAAUGGUCAUCUAUCCGCCUUCGGGCGGGGGACAGAACCCGGCUUAGAGGCCGUCUGACGCU